GCUGGACUGGAGGAUCCACACUGCAGACUGGAGACACUGAGGUUGUCCCUGGAGAGGGCAGUUAAGGUGCUGGAGUUGGAGGAGGAGGAAGCUACAAAAAACUGCCCGGUAGAGAAAGGUUUAAGAAAAUGCAUCCUGACGUACACGUUCCCUGCAUUGACCCACUUGCCAACGAUGUCUUGGCUGUGGUGAACCGCAUGAACCUCACUUUCCAAAAGGAAGAUAUGAACAUUUCCUCUAUCCAACCUGUCCUCAACAUGACCCUUGUAAUCUAAAAGACUUGAUGAAUGAGCCAGGUAAGCAGUGUUAGAAUGUAAGCACAUAAGCUAGUACUUCAGUACAAAUUUAAGGCAUCCAGUCACACUUGAUUUGUUCUUUAUUCUUCAUAUACCCCUCAGAGAAUAAUAUUAUAUUUUUACAACAUUAAAACUGUCUGACAGCUUUAUAGUCUAACUUUUUAAAUUUACAGCCUUCAUAAAAAGCCUCGUUAAAACACGUUAUUCCAGCAUUUUAUUUUUCACGAGAUGAAAGGUAAAGUCUUCCUUUAUAAGUCAAAGUCUUAUCUUAGAAUUAUAAAUAAAUCAUUCUUGAAACCAUAGGCUGGAACAAAAUCUAAAAGCAAAAAAAAACUUAAUCUGAGUUUUUUUUUAGAGAAAUGCUUUGUAUUUGUCACGGGUAAGGGAUCCGACUGUCACGAUGGUUUUAUAGAAUAUAAUACACUGCUGAUGAACAAACUAACAACAAAAGCAGUUCAUAUUUACAUUAUAUCAAACAUGUAAGCUCCCACAGAAAAACAACAGACAACAUGAAUGCAACUGCAG